rnacentral:lncRNA from 1 species
CUCACACAUUUCUCCCCCUCUCUUCAUCUUCUUCGGCUCCACCAGCUGCCUCCGGUCCGCCGCCGCCGAAACCUUAGCCUCCUCCAGCUCCUUGACCUCGGCAGAGCCAUGGCGAUGCGGGCUUGCAGGAGGUUCUUGUAGCCAGAAGGGUCAGUUCCCCAGUCCCCACCUACAAGUACGCGAGUGUAGUGUGACCUUCGCCGCCGCCGCCGUCUCCAUGACGACCAUCAAUCCCUUUGAACUCCUGGGCGCCGACGACAACGACGACCCCACGCAGCUGCUGGCCGCCGCCGCGGCAGCCAAGCAGAAGGCCGAGGCGAAGAAGCAAGCGGCGGCGGCGACCGCCGGCCCCGCCAAGUUGCCAACCAAGCCU